GAAACUUAACAAUUUGACGGUAGCUAAUAUCAUAAAGGAGUUUGUAACUUAAUCGUCAACACACGUUUUAUCUUACUUAAUAAAAUUUGUAUACCUCCGUUAAAGAUUCUAUUUAUAAUAAAAGAAAAUUUCACAAAAAUAAAUAAAUUAGUAAAUCAGGUCAAGGUGCAGUUUUUUAAGAUGUUAUGAACUACAAUAAUAAAAUAAAAGUGAAUUAAAUUAUGAAAAAAAAAUUAUGAAAAUGAAUUUAUAAGUAAAAUAAAAUUAAUAUAUUUAUUUGAAAAUUUUUAGGUAUGUACACAUCG
rnacentral:rRNA from 1 species